rnacentral:rRNA from 1 species
UACGUAGGGGGCUAGCGUUGUCCGGAAUCAUUGGGCGUAAAGAGCGUGUAGGCGGCCCGGUAAGUCCGCUGUGAAAGUCGGGGGCUCAACCCUCGAAUGCCGGUGGAUACUGUCGGGCUAGAGUGCGGAAGAGGCAAGCGGAAUUCCUGGUGUAGCGGUGAAAUGCGCAGAUAUCAGGAGGAACACCGGUGGCGAAGGCGGCUUGCUGGGCCUUACCUGACGCUGAGGAGCGAAAGCGUGGGGAGCGAACAGG